rnacentral:rRNA from 1 species
AUUGAACGCUGGCGGCAUGCCUUACACAUGCAAGUCGAACGGCAGCACGGGAGCAAUCCUGGUGGCGAGUGGCGAACGGGUGAGUAAUGUAUCGGAACGUGCCCAGUCGUGGGGGAUAACGUAGCGAAAGCUACGCUAAUACCGCAUACGAUCUAUGGAUGAAAGCGGGGGAUCGCAAGACCUCGCGCUAUUGGAGCGGCCGAUAUCAGAUUAGGUAGUUGGUGGGGUAAAGGCUCACCAAGCCGACGAUCUGUAGCUGGUCUGAGAGGACGACCAGCCACACUGGGACUGAGACACGGCCCAGACCCCUACGGGAGGCAGCAGUGGGGAAUUUUGGACAAUGGGCGCAAGCCUGAUCCAGCAAUGCCGCGUGCAGGAUGAAGGCCUUCGGGUUGUAAACUGCUUUUGUACGGAGCGAAAAGGCUCUCUCUAAUACAGGGGGCUCAUGACGGUACCGUAAGAAUAAGCACCGGCUAACUACGUGCCAGCAGCCGCCGCGGUAA